UAGAAAUACGUGGCAUACGGCUCAGUAACACGUAGUCAACAUGCCCAGGGGACGUGGAUAACCUCGGGAAACUGAGGAUAAACCGCGAUAGGCCAUGAUUUCUGGAAUGGUUCAUGGCCGAAAUCUAUAUGGCCCCUGGAUUGGACUGCGGCCGAUCAGGCUGUUGGUGAGGUAAUGGCCCACCAAACCUGUAACCGGUACGGGCUCUGAGAGGAGGAGCCCGGAGAUGGGCACUGAGACGAGGGCCCAGGCCCUAUGGGGCGCAGCAGGCGCGAAAUCUCUGCAAUAGGCGAAAGCUUGACAGGGUUACUCUGAGUGGUUCCCGUUAAGGGGAUCUUUUGGCACCUUUAAAAAUGGUGCAGAAUAAGGGGUGGGCAAGUCUGGUGUCAGCCGCCGCGGUAAUACCAGCACCCCGAGUGGUCGGGACGAUUAUUGGGCCUAAAGCAUCCGUAGCCGGUACUGCAAGUCUUCCGUUAAAUCCACCUGCUUAACAGUUGGGCUGCGGGGGAUACUACAGCGCUAGGAGGCGGGAGAGGCAAGCGGUACUCAAUGGGUAGGGGUAAAAUCCGCUGAUCCAUUGAAGACCACCAGUGGCGAAGGCGGCUUGCCAGAACGCGCUCGACGGUGAGGGAUGAAAGCUGGGGGA
rnacentral:rRNA from 1 species